AGUCAGCAUAUCAUGCAAUAAUGAUUUCAGGAGUGGAAUCCAGGGAUUCAUCCCCUGCUUACAACACCCAGUGCUCACCCCAACGAGGAUCCUCCUAAAUUGGGGAUUGGUGCCAUUAUAGGAGAUCUGUGUGCGGCACUCCCUCGCCCCGGCCACCAUGUGAGGACACAGGGAACCAGGAGGUGGGUCCUCACCAGUCACUGAGUCUGUUAGUGUCUUGAUCUGCGACUUCAGCCUCCAGAACCGUGAGCAAUAACUGCUGGUAUUUACAAGCCACCUGCUUUGUGAUAUUCUGUUAUGGCGCCCAGACCGACUAACACAGACACAUCGAGAGGGAAGACCCGCCAAGGACACAAUGGGAGGCAGCCCUCCGCGAGUCAAGCGGGGAGAAACCGGCACUGCCUGCUCCUUGAUCUUGGGCUUCCAGCCCCCAGAACUGUGAGAAAAGAAAUACAUUUGGGUUGGGUAAGCCGCCCCAGCUGUGCUAUGUUGUUACAGAGGCACUGGGACUGCGCACACACAUCCAUUAAAAAUGUGUUUAUGUUCAUCUUUUGAGGAUCCCAGACACCUCAAGACAGAAACAGUUAUGGAGUAGUUGGGGGUAGGAAGAAGGGUACGUGCCAGGGUGGGCAGGUGGGUGACCAGUAUGACCUCGGUAUGACCCGGGUGACCAGCCCAAGGCUCUGUGCUUAGAGACAGUAAAGCAAGAAGAUAUGGACUGGCUGGGUUUUUUAAAAAAAAUACUUAUUUUUGAGAGAGAGCGCACACGUGGGGAAGGGGCAGAGAGAGAGAGAGAGAGACACGGAGAAUCUGAAGCAGGCUCUGCGCUGACGACAGGGAGCCCGAUGUGGGGCUCGAACCCGCAAACUGCGAGAUCACGACCUGAGCCGAAGUCAGAGGCUCGACACACUGAGCCACCCAGGCGCCCCUGUUUUUCAAACUGGACUGAAACUGCCCUCGGAUUUCCUCUUGCAGGACUCCGCAUCCGCAGUCCUUUUCUCUCGCUGGGAGCGGGUGUCACUUACCUCACGCACUUGCCCACCCAGGACAUCUGACCCAGCUUGUACAACUGGAGCCAAAGGCCUUCCUGGCACAGAAAGGGGCCCAAAAGCUGGUUCUUAGAUACGCUCCAGCCCGGCCUGUUUAUCUCGUGAGCUUCAGAAGGCAAGCCGCCCCCGCCCGCCAUGGCUCCUUCCCCGUGUGAUUACAUCUUUCCUUGAUCCCACUGACAGAGCAUUGCUGUUGAGUUGGUGUGGAUGCUGCUGAAUGCUCACUGUCACCUUCUGUAUUCAUCUUGGGGAGCAGUAACCCAGCCUGUCGGGGCCUCCUGCACAGACCGCCCUUUGAAUGGUGUUCUGAGCCUUCAGUGACGCUGGCAGCGAUGAUGCAUUACAAAACCAAACAAAUUAGUCCUCCGGACAGACGACCCGGGGGCAAAUCAACCACCACAACAGAAAAGACAAGCUUUCAAACCAACGAGAGAAGACAAGAUUGUAAUGCCUUCCUAACAACCUUGCUUUAUUGAUGCAAUGCAAGGAAAACUACAUUAGAUUCUAUUGAUUCUCUUUGAGAUCUAAUAAUAUGCUCUAUUCAGAUCUUAUUCACAUACACUUCCUCCACAGUCUUUCUCAGGAGCUGAAAUUGGCCAGUUACAAACAGAAUUUGUUCUCCUGUCCUUUGAAAUCACAGAAGCGGACGUGUUUUCGAACACAAAAGAUACGAAGCUUUCUUUGGGAAACAAAGCAUAGUGGGGGAAAAUAUCUCCCCUCUAAACAAAAUUGAAAGCAUGCCUUACUUCAGAUUUAUUUGAUUACAGAAUCUUCCUCGGGGCUAAUCAGUUUUCGAACCCAUUUCUAUUGGCACCAGUGAGCUAAUAAAAAACCCAGAAGGAGAGAAGUAUCACAACAACUCAGAGAAACUAGGUUGUUCAUUAAAAAAAAAAAAAAAAAAAAAAAAAAAGCAUUGAAUUAAUGUUUACACUGCUGAGUCAAAUUAUUUAUAUGUAUGCUAUAGGUUUUGCAUCCCCAGAAUUUGUUAGCAUUCAGAGUAUGAUAAAUUGUACCUGGCUGACUUGUGAAAAAUCAUCUCGAGAAAGAUUUUUUUUUUUUCCAGUGGGAAAAUAUAUGGAUGACACAUGGUGGCUUUAUUGAAACUGUUCUUUGGGUGAACAGCCAGAACAAUUCAGCAGAAGGGAGAGGCGGAUUUACAAAUUAUUAUUUUUUAUUUUUUGAGAGAGAAUGAGCAGGGGAGGGGCAGAGAGACAGGCAGAGAGAGAAUCCCAAGCAGGCUCCACACCGCCAGCACAGAACCCGAUGCAGGGCUCGAACUCACGAACCAUGAGAUCAUGACCUGAGCCGAAACCAGGAGUCAGACGCUCAACUGACCGAGCCCCCCAGGCGCCCCAAGGAGAGGCGGGGUCUUGGAUGUCACAGUGGAUGAUUAAGAAUUUUGGCUUUGGGGCAGUGUUGUAAUAAUGCUCAUCAGGAAACUGCCUCGAACCAUCGGCGGCUUCUACCUCUCAGUGUCGCCCAAUGCCUGGCAUUUCCACAUUUCUCGUCAUGUUCCUUCUCUUUGCAAAGCUCUUCUUCAGGAGGACUUUCAAACUGUUCCUCGGAUCAUCAGGGUACUUUGAAUGCUUUGUCACAACCCGCCCUGUGUUAUGAGAUGCUCCAUGGACACCUAUGAUUUCAAUGGCACUGAUUCCGAAAUCCCUAUUUCUACCUUGGCUUUUAUCCCAUGUACUCGUCUUGCGUCUCCAAAUGCCCACUGGAAAUUCCCACUGGAUAUUCAUCAGUGACGUUAUCGUAGGACUAAAAUUGAACUCAUUAAACUUUUCGAUGCCACAGCCUGGCACAGCAGAAGAUGGGCGGGGUUCUGAAUCUUGAGAGAUGAGUUCAUGCCCACACUUAACCUUUCUGAUUCAAGUCAGGCUUCCUGGGAGUUACGGAAGAUGUACUUUGGCUGAUUCAGACAGAGAAGGGAUGUGAGGAGAGACAUGCGGCAGCUUUCCCAACAGGCCGGAAGGAGGAGCCAGCCUGGGAAAGGCAGCCGGCAGCGUGGCGUUCCAGGAGCCAGCAGGUCUUAGGGAUGCGAACAGGAGCUGGAUACGGGACAGCCCCUGUCCACUCUGCCUAGCCUCGAUUUCCUUAAGCCAAGAAAAAUGGGGAUAAUUUGACCACCCACCUCAUGGGAUUGUAAGGAAGAUGGAGCUGGUAUUCCGGAAGAUUCUUUGUAGACCGUGAGCCCCUCCACAGGUGUUAAGGUUGUUUAUACUACCAAGUGAGGUUUUUCCUUCCCAUCUCUGUUCUGUUCCUGACCCUUUUACCUCUGUGCCCACUCAGUGUCCCUCCUCCCACCCCCUCCGUCCGUGGGUGCCCCCUCCCCCUCAGUGCCCCUUUUCCCACCAGCACCUCCAGAUCCAAGCCCCGGGGUUUCUUCAUCCUUCCUUCACCUUUCUCCCACCUUUCUCUUCCCCUCACCAUUGGCACCUGAGAAUUCAGGGGCAACAAAGGAAACCAGCCUCUCCCAAGCUUGAUUACACAUUGGGCUCGCCUGGGGCAGACCUCCCAGGCCUCGUUCUUACACAAGCUUCUUGGGAGAGCUGGGCAGGAACGGGCCCGCCCCCAGGAAUCUACAAACCGAGUUUCUCGCCCAGAGCGCUAGCCCCCAGAAGAGGGUUCCGAAUUGAAGCAGGUUUGGAAAACGGCGCAUCCGUCUCCCUCUAAAAGAGUCACAAUUCAAGAGGUCCUGCAGGGUUUUCCAAAGGCAGAUCCUCAGUCAGAGAAAACCUUCCGCUACAUGUAAAAAAGAAAGCGCUCGUUUGUCUCCUGAUAACCGAUGGGGCCCGUCAGUCUCUCUGGGCAGAUGCUGUGGACAGGUCAGAACAUUUCGUUACGGCCAAGUGGAGAAUUUCGGCGACUGCUCCCUCCAUCCCGGGGCUGGCUUCCUCUCCCGGCCACCUUCCCGCCGCGGCACACGCGUGUGUGGGGCCAGCCACGUGGGGCUGCCUUGUGCCACCGGGCUGUAAUGCUGAGUUGGUGGGAAGAGAAUACCAUGCCCCUGUUUUUAUCGCUGUGGCUUUGAACACAAUCAGGGGGUCAGAGACGUUCAAAGAUUUCGACUCCACUUCGUUCUCUAACACCUUGUCCUCAGAUUGCCACACACCAUUGUCUGCUGACCUGCUACGUCCACCGCAAAGAAAAUGCCCAGCGGAGACACCACAGUCGAGACCAGCUUGGGCUGGAGAAGCGUGUCUACUCUUCCCCUCUAAAAUGAUGUUGUAGGUGAAUAUUUAAUAACGUAAGACAUUCGACUCAAGCGCUAGGACAGAUGGAAAAGAUUAAACACUUUAAAAUAGGCUUAUCGAUGAAGUACAGGACAUACUAAAAUGUUAACAGCGUUCCUCUCUGGAUGAGUUGUCUAGGAUUUUAAAAAGUCUUCAGUAAUAAUAAUAGCAACAACUGCCACCACCGUUUAUUAGAUGUUUACUGUUUACUGAGCAAUUUACGUACAUUGCGUCAUUUAACUCUUAGAAAACCCUACAAAGGGGUGGGGGGGGUUGUUUUUAUGCCCAUUUGAGCAAACGGAACUGGGACAGAGAGAGGCUAAGAGGCUAAGGUAAUCUGGAGCGCCCGGCUGGCUUGGUGGGGCGUGCAACUCUGCUUCUUGGGGUUGUGGGUUCGAGCCCCACGCUGGGUAUAGAGAUUACGAAAACCAAUAAAUAAACUUAAAAAAAAAAAAGAGAGAGAGAGAGAGAGAGACUAAGGGAAUACAGCCAGUGAGUGACGCCAUCCCGGCUGUGAGUCAGGUCCAUGCCUGGGCUCUUAAUCUCCCUCUUUGCUGUUAAUAAUCCAAAUGUACGUCCCUAUGCAUCCCUAUGAGCUUUUUUUUUUCUUUAAAUCUUCAACUUCUAGUUCAUUUUCUACUUCAGUAACUUUCUCUACUUUACACGUAAAAUGACUUUCUAUGUAGUUAUAACAAAGCCCUUCCCUUUGUAACUCCGUUAUCCCCACUUUCAUAACCCAGGCCUAUGCAAUUCUGGGCUUUAGCAAAAACAGAACAUAUGCAUCCGAAAAACAGACAAAUUAUUAUAUGUAAAUUAGUGUAUGUUAGCUGCACGCACGGGGCCAAGUGUCACGGAUGAAGAACGUGGCUGUGUUACUGAAAUUUAAUUAUAACAUCUGUCUGUAACCACAAGCUCACGGUCUUUCUUCCCCGGUGACAGUCAAGUUGUGAAAUUUAGAAAAGAUUGAGCAAGUCCAAUAAAAAUUUAAUAGCAGUGACAGUUUUACUCUUAGAUCUAACACAAAAAAUUGUGAUUUCAGCUCUGAGGAAAUAAUGUAAUGAAAAUGAUAAAAAUCCACACCGGGAAAGGAAUCAUUCCAGUUACAGAAAAAAAUUAUUACAUGUGAUGGGAGCCCCAAAUGAAUUUCUCUUUGGGUUUGCACAACAACCUCUCAAAUCUGUAUGGAGCGCUUCUUCCUACAGGCAGUUUGGGCUUCCUCGAGCACUGAGUUGAUUAGCUUGCCCAGUUAGCGUCUGUCCCUAAUUCCAGGAAUUGAGCCAAAUAUGAUAAAUAAGGUUGAAGCUGUGGGAACAUCUAUGAGACACUGUUUGUUGUUAUCGUUUGGACUGAGUAAUCAAGACAAAAAAACACGAGAGGGAGCAACGUCAUUGAUGUCGGCCUCUCCGUUCCUAUCAGCCUCAGGAAGGAAAGGCGAGUGGCUCUAGUCUCAAUCUGCAAGGGUCCCACUUUGAAGCCGCUUGAGGAGACUUUAGUGUAAUAGAAUUUGACAAAAUCAGGCGAUAGAGCCUAUGUGGCCAGUCACUGCUGAGAGGCUGACAUCUGGUCUAGCUGGGUCUGUACUUCAGGGCUACUUUUGUCCUCCGGCCACCUCCACCUUCUCAGAUGCACAAGGAACCUGCCGAAAAGGCAGAAGAGAAGUGCCAAGGCACCAAUCACAAAUAUCUAGGCAGAUCAGUGGUCAGGCGUGAAAAUGCCCCGAAUCGAAUACGAUGAUGACCAAAGACCAGGGCGCUUCCGCAGGAAGUGAAGGGUCUACGGUUGGGAUCCCGCUGGGCACAGACAGGCACGUGUGUGUGAGAUGUGUGUGUCAUGUGAAUUACUAAUAUAAAUGCUGGAUGGUUAAGAAAUGUGUUCAGUGGCCAGUCGGUGGGAAAGAGAACCAGGAAUGUGGAGGGACGUCCCCACCGUGUGCACGUGUGUUCACUGGGGGGAAGCAUGGAAGGGAAUGGAUUCCAGAGCUCACAGUAAUUGGUCUCUGCAUCUAGCAGUAGGAAAAACAAAAAAAGGUGUGGUUAUGUAUAAAAGAUAGAGUAUGAGGAAACACAGUUGUUUUUAAUUUAUCAAACACAAAUUUAUAUCAGGAUUAACUUUUUUUCCAACCAGCUUUUAUACAUGGAUCUUUCCCUCUCUUUGUUAAAAAAUGAAUGGUAUAGUCCGUUAAGAAUCCAACUCCUGACUUUGGCUCAGGUCACGACCUCACGGUUCAUGAGUUCAAGCCUCGUAUGGGGCUCUCUGCUCUCAGCACAGAGCCCGCUUCAGAUCCUCUGUCCCCCUCUCUCUGCCCUCCCUUGCUUGUUCUCAUUCUCUCUCUCUCAAAAUAAAUAAACUUAAAAAAAAAAAAAGUAUGGUAUAGAAACUAUACGUCAAAGAGGCUUCCAGAAUACCUCACAAAGAGGAAACAAAAUUUAAGCCAAACUUCCCAUUUUAGUCAUGUGGCCCAUUUCCAGCGUUAAAAACAAUUCAACUGGGUAAAUGUGAAGAUCGAGUUAGCUUUACCAAGUGAUUCAUGAAUCAGGCAGCGUCCCCUCCGGCAGGCAGAAGGGAGCUCCAGCAGACUGAAAGGUUUUAGAAGAUGGGACAAGGAAGUCAUCAAGAGAAAACACGAUUAUUUCGGGUAAGGCCACCUUCCUCUGGGACAAACAGAAGAUUCCUCAAUGACCAGUUCAAACUACAUUUCUGGAGGAGGUUGAAAGCGCAGGCUGUUUCUGAGUGUCUGAGACCAGCCUUCCGCGGUGCACUCCAUAUAUACUCAGUAUUCUCUCUACUUUUCAUGUCUUCUCCCUUCAGAGGUUUCUCUUCAAACCUAGACUUUUCAGGUCCCCUAGGGACUUGUAAUCAUCUCCUCAGCGAGAGGCACGUGUUCUGGAGCCCAAAGCCCUCUUCCUUUCUCCGAGCUCACCCUGCAGUACCUGAACCAGUAGACUCCGUACUCUGGAUUUGUACACUUCUUUUCCCUCAAGCUCCCAAGUUGUUCCAGGCAUGUUUCACAUUCCACACUGUGGAGCAGGCCGACACCAGGCAGCUUCUGUGGACCCUAGGCAGGGGUGCAGGAAUAUGCGAGCCAACCUCCGGCUACAAGUUUGCGGCAUCACUGGGACCGGUGUGUGGAAGAACCCAAAGGAAGUCGAGUGGCUGGUUCUUGGGGUACUUUGGCCCUUUUCCUCUCUUUUGGGCUCAUGGAGUAUUAAAUUCAGGUCUCAUCACUAUGGCAAAUUUUUGAUUUCUUUCAGGCCUGCCUAUUUAGCGUCUUUGUGUCUUGGGCUUCAACCAUUUCCCCUGGCAAAUCAACAGGUAAACAAAGUUCUUCCGUACCCAAGCAGGCAAGAUCGCCAAGGCAGAUUUUAGGCAACACAAGACCAACUUAAUACUUACUAGCAAAGACACCAUUCAGGCUUAACAAAUGACAUUUGAUUUGGGAUAUAAAACUGAGGAGAACACAGCACCCAACAGGGCAUCAGGGCUCAGUAAGGGGUUAGUUGCUGUGUAUCUACUGGGCAGUUAUCCUUGUAACACCUGUCAUUCAACUGUAAAACAAGGCUUUCACCCCCCAACCCCUUCCUGGAGACUGAAGUCUAAGGAGGCUUACAUAAUAAAAGGGGGCCUUUGUAAGGCAAGUAAGGCUGAGGCAGCAGCAGACAUGUGGAAUAGGAAGGGAGGAGGGACCCACUAGCAGGAAGUUACUCUUCCUACGUGUUACUCAGUUAAUCUACCCUGAGUGAGGUCAGGCCGCCAUGACACACGGCUCUGAACCUUUGGGAGAAGAAGGGGGAAGAGAGGAAAGUGGGAGGGGACUAAGGAGG